rnacentral:rRNA from 1 species
AAAAAAGGUAAGCUACUAAGAGCGAAUGGUGGAUGCCUUGACUGGUAAAGGCGAUGAAGGACGUACUAGACUGCGAUAAGCUACGGGGAGCUGUCAAGAAGCUUUGAUCCGUAGAUUUCCGAAUGGGGCAACCCAAUGUAUAGAGAUAUACAUUACCUAUAUAGGAGCGAACGAGGGGAAUUGAAACAUCUUAGUACCCUCAGGAAAAGAAAUCAAUAGAGAUUGCGUCAGUAGCGGCGAGCGAAAGCGCAAGAGGGCAAACCCAGUGCUUGCACUGGGGGUUGUAGGACUGCAAUGUGCAAGAGGUGAGUUUAGCAGAACAUUCUGGAAAGUAUAGCCAUAGAGGGUGAUAGUCCCGUAUGCGAAAAACAAACCUUAGCUAGCAGUAUCCUGAGUAGGGCGGGACACGAGAAAUCCUGUCUGAAGCUGGGUCGACCACGAUCCAACCCUAAAUACUAAUACCAGAUCGAUAGUGCACAAGUACCGUGAGGGAAAGGUGAAAAGAACUGAGGUGAUCAGAGUGAAAUAGAACCUGAAACCAUUUGCUUACAAUCAUUCAGAGCCCUAUGUAGCAAUACAGGGUGAUGGACUGCCUUUUGCAUAAUGAGCCUGCGAGUUGUGGUGUCUGGCAAGGUUAAGCAAACGCGAAGCCGUAGCGAAAGCGAGUCUGAAUAGGGCGCUUAGUCAGAUGCUGCAGACCCGAAACGAAGUGAUCUAUCCAUGAGCAAGUUGAAGCUAGUGUAAGAACUAGUGGAGGACUGAACCCAUAGGCGUUGAAAAGCCCCGGGAUGACUUGUGGAUAGGGGUGAAAGGCCAAUCAAACUUCGUGAUAGCUGGUUCUCUCCGAAAUAUAUUUAGGUAUAGCGUUGUGUCGUAAUAUAAGGGGGUAGAGCACUGAAUGGGCUAGGGCAUACACCAAUGUACCAAACCCUAUCAAACUCCGAAUACCUUAUAUGUAAUCACAGCAGUCAGGCGGCGAGUGAUAAAAUCCGUCGUCAAGAGGGAAACAACCCAGACUACCAGCUAAGGUCCCUAAAUCUUACUUAAGUGGAAAACGAUGUGAAGUUACUUAAACAACCAGGAGGUUGGCUUAGAAGCAGCCAUCCUUUAAAGAAAGCGUAAUAGCUCACUGGUCUAGUGAUUUUGCGCGGAAAAUAUAACGGGGCUAAAGUAAGUACCGAAGCUGUAGACUUGCGCACAACUUAGAUUAUUUAAGUUUAGAAUAUGAGAAACUAAGUUAUAUGUUUAGUUAUAUUUUUACUGAUUUUUAUAGAGUAAAGAUAGAAAUAAAACUUAGUAAAAUCAGUAAAAAUAUUCUUAGACUAAAGUUAAGUAGUUUAAGUUGUGUGCAAGUGGUAGGAGAGCGUUCUAUUUGCGUCGAAGGUAUACCGGUAAGGAGUGCUGGAGCGAAUAGAAGUGAGCAUGCAGGCAUGAGUAGCGAUAAUUAAUGUGAGAAUCAUUAACGCCGUAAACCCAAGGUUUCCUACGCGAUGCUCGUCAUCGUAGGGUUAGUCGGGUCCUAAGUCGAGUCCGAAAGGGGUAGACGAUGGCAAAUUGGUUAAUAUUCCAAUACCAACAUUAGUGUGCGAUGGAAGGACGCUUAGGGCUAAGGGGGCUAGCGGAUGGAAGUGCUAGUCUAAGGUCGUAGGAGGUUAUACAGGCAAAUCCGUAUAACAAUACUCCGAGAACUGAAAGGCUUUUUGAAGUCUUCGGAUGGAUAGAAGAACCCCUGAUGCCGUCGAGCCAAGAAAAGUUUCUAAGUUUAGCUAAUGUUGCCCGUACCGUAAACCGACACAGGUGGGUGGGAUGAGUAUUCUAAGGCGCGUGGAAGAACUCUCUUUAAGGAACUCUGCAAAAUAGCACCGUAUCUUCGGUAUAAGGUGUGGUUCGCUUCGUAUUAGGAUUUACUCCGAAAGCGAAGAAACUUACAACAAAGAGUCCCUCCCGACUGUUUACCAAAAACACAGCACUCUGCUAACUCGUAAGAGGAUGUAUAGGGUGUGACGCCUGCCCGGUGCUCGAAGGUUAAUUGAUGGGGUUAGCAUUAGCGAAGCUCUUGAUCGAAGCCCGAGUAAACGGCGGCCGUAACUAUAACGGUCCUAAGGUAGCGAAAUUCCUUGUCGGUUAAAUACCGACCUGCAUGAAUGGCGUAACGAGAUGGGAGCUGUCUCAAAGAGGGAUCCAGUGAAAUUGUAGUGGAGGUGAAAAUUCC